rnacentral:tRNA from 1 species
UCUAAAAUGGCAGACAGAUGCACAGGACUUAAGCUCCUGCCAGGAAGAUCUCUUCUUUUAGGA